rnacentral:tRNA from 1 species
GCGCGCGUAGCUCAACGGAUAGAGCAUCUGACUACGGAUCAGAAGGUUGGGGGUUCGAAUCCCUUCGCGCGCACCA